AAUUCUACCCUUCUUUGAAUUGACAAGACCAGAAAAAGACGUCUAAAAGACGGUCUGUGCUUAGUGUGUAUAUGGGGCGUACAGAAAAACCACACAGCACGAGUGAAUAGGUUGUUUACAUAUUUGWUCAUUCAUCAUAACACCGUUUUUAUCUAGCGUGGACGGGCUCCCUGUUAGAAAGGGGAAACUCUUUUGACGCACCGCUGGUGAGCACCGCAGUUAUUACGUGAGCUCGAGGACAGGGAAUAAGACAGCUGGCGUUUUCAACACCGGACUAAACGCAACCGAUAAAAACAGGAUAGAGGAGGUCAGGACUGCAGCGGGGUUGAUUUGGAUCAAAUUAGUUCGGUAAAAGAGGUCGAUUGUUUCCUGCAUAUCCUUAAAAGACCAAAUAUGGGAAUGGGGAUCCGGCACAGUAACAGUAUGCCCAGACUUGUUG